CCAAACAGGAACUGGCCUGCCACCUCCAACUCCCCACCAAGCUGUAAGCAGUGGAGCAGAAAACCAGAUUAUUCUCAGCUGUUGCCCUGCUUAAUUUAAUAUUUCCAACGAGCUCCCUUACCCUCUCCUCUGCAAGGGAAUGCAUAUUUGUGCUGUGUCACAAGACAUCAGCCUGCUGGUGGGGCGAUCCACUGCUCAGCGGUCAUUGCUGUCUGCAAUAUUUUCUCCUUUAUCUAAGAGCUGUGGAUUUUGGCUAUAAUAUUCCUGGGAAUUGUCAUAUGGGGCUUUCUUUGGGAAGCUUGUGAUUGCUGAGCUCACGCUGGAAAGUCCCCCCUCCCAGAAGUGUCAUGCUGUGGCAAGACUGACGAAUGUGUUUCUCCUCCUCCAAGCCAGCUGCAUCCUGAGGACUCAUAGUGAGGCGACUGCAACAUUACCAAAAAAAUAAAAAAAUAAGAAAAAAAGACCCUGGGUUGCUGUUGAAAACUAAGACUUCAUCGAGGAAGAGUCCCAAGUGCAAAGGAUGUCUGAAGGAAUGUCUCUUACCUUAUAUACACAGAGGCAAGGCGCAGAAUGGUGCUCAGAGACUGGAUAAAUGCUGUAUUGUUAGUGGUAACUUUCCACAGAGCAUCUUUCCUAAAGUCUCCAGAAACUGAGAGUAAAAAAGAUAACUAUGUUCAUUUGACAGCUGGGGAAACUGAGGCAUUGGAAGAAAGCAAGGUAAAAGUUCUCCUUUACUGGGGGUUUUCAUACACGAGAUGGAUGAAUGGCCACAUGUCGGAGAGAUGGGAGAAUUCAGUGGUUGGAGUAGAUGACUAUUGAGGUAACAUCCAACUCUCAAAUGCAUGCACCCUAUGGGGCUAUAUUAAAUUAUCUCCUCUGUGACUUUGUUUCUAAAGGUUCUUCAGGGCAGGUAGGGGGCGCCAUAGUGCACAGAGAGCACUUUGCAUCCCCCUCUUCUGAAAUCUGAUUGUGAGACUUCAAUCCAGAGCAGCUAGGAGGCGCCAUAGUGGCCAGAGAGCGCUUUGUGUCCACCUCUUCUGAAAUCUGAUCAUAAAUAUUCAAUCCAGAACAGCUAGGAGGCGCCAUAGUGCCCAGAGAGCACUUUGUGUCCACCUCUUCUGAAAUCUGAUUGUGAGACUUCAAUCCAGAGCAGCUAGGAGGCGCCAUAGUGGCCAGAGAGCGCUUUGUGUCCACCUCUUCUGAAAUCUGAUUGUGAGACUUCAAUCCAGAGCAGCUAGGGGGCGCCAUAAUUCCCAGAGAGCACUUUGUGUCCACCUCUUCUGAAAUCUGAUUGUGAGACUUCAAUCCAGAACAGCUAGGAGGCGCCAUAGUGCCCAGAGAGCACUUUGUGUCCACCUCUUCUGAAAUCUGAUCAUAAAUAUU